rnacentral:rRNA from 1 species
CCCUUAGAUGUUCUGGGCCGCACGCGCGCUACACUGACAGAGCCAACGAGUUCUUCACCUUGGCCGGAAGGUCUGGGUAAUCUUGUUAAACUCUGUCGUGCCGGGGAUAGAGCAUUGCAAUUAUUGCUCUUCAACGAGGAAUGCCUAGUAAGCGCGUGUCAUCAGCACGCGUUGAUUACGUCCCUGCCCUUUGUACACACCGCCCGUCGCUACUACCGAUUGAAUGGCUCAGUGAGGCCUUCGGACUGGCUCAGGGAGGUUGGCAACGACCACCCCGAGCCGGAAAGUUCGUCAAACUCGGUCAUUUAGAGGAAGUAAAAGUCGUAACA